rnacentral:rRNA from 1 species
UGAAGAAUAUUGGGCAAUGCCCGCAAGGGUGACCCAGCAACGCCGCGUGGAGGAUGAAUGUCGUAAGAUUGUAAACUCCUGUUAGAGGGGAAGAAUAGUACCGGUUGGACCGGUAUAUGACUGUACCCUCAGAGAAAGCCCCGGCUAACUACGUGCCAGCAGCCGCGGUAAUACGUAGGGGGCAAGCGUUGUCCGGAUUUACUGGGUGUAAAGGGCGCGCAGGCGGGAUAAAAAGUCAGUGGUGAAAUCCUACAGCUUAACUGUAGAACUGCCUUUGAUACUUUUAUUCUUGAGUUCGGGAGAGAGAGACGGAAUUCCAGGUGUAGUGGUGAAAUACGUAGAUAUCUGGAAGAACACCAGUUGCGAAGGCGGUCUCUUGGUCCGACACUGACGCUGAGGCGCGAAAGCGUGGGGAGCAAACA